CCACCCUCCUCGUCACUUAUCUUAUCAGUGACUGAGGUUUGGCCUGUGCUUUGCUCACAGUUCAGCGGAUAGGAGAGCUGCCGCAGAGAGAUGAAACUUCGUACCCCGAAAUCUGGACUUUUCAAUGAAUUUCGUUCAAAGAAACUCACACGCAUCGCAUGUGAGCCAAGUCUACUGCUUGUGCUUUCAUAGUAUUUUUUUUUCUGAGAACCUCCAAUCGCCCCCUGGCACCCAAUGACGUGAACAGAUUCUUCUCCAUUCAAGGAUUUUGUGGUUAGAUCAGUUGAUAGCUGCUUAACUCUGUGUGGUGUUUAAGUUUGUAUGGGAUGCCCCGGCUUGAGGACAAAAGCAUGUUUCCCACACACUGCUCUUAGUUGUGAAUGCAAUUCAUAUGCACUGUGUGGGGCCCCAUUUCAUGGUGUGUUUCAGCAUGGAUCCCACGUCUGACUAGUAGUAGGCCUACACUCCCAUUCUGGCUCUUGAAUGAUCCCUAGUGUUGUUCAUUUGUUUUGGUCAAAUGGACUUGAGACCCGAGCCGUGGAUGUUAGUCAUUCUGCAUGCAAUGCGGCACCGUGUAGCGUCGUUCCACGUCAAAGUACAAGAGGAUUUCGACACCCGCCAUUGUCAGAUUGUUCCGAAAUCGUUUCUGUAAUUUGUAACAGAUACGAUUAGCAUUCCUGAAGCAUAUUACAUUUUUUUUGUAUGAUUAUUUUAUAAACUAUACAAAACAUACACAUACAAAUGACAACAUCAUACAAACAUCAACUACAUCACACCUGCCCAGACCAGGGUGUCCGUGGGUCCUUAAAGUCUUCAAUUAAUUGAUCUAAAUUCAAAUACAUUUUUAAAAGGUCUUAAAAAUCAAGUAGACCGGGAAAUGGACACACAUUUUUAUUAGGUUCCGUUUACGUUGUGCAGAGGCGAUGUAAAUAAUGGGUGAUAGGAUCGUGAUUUACUUCAAUGGAAGGAACGCAUUUUAGCUUGAGUCACUCGCAGAGCGGAACCACACUCUGUAAUGUUCCCGCAGCGGUCAGAAGUCAGCGAGACACUCGUGACUUCUGACCACAGCUCGUGUAUUUAUCUAUUAGCUAGCAGAGAUUGGCUGUGGUGAAGUAGUAACGGAGGUCGACUUGAAACUACGGUAGACAGUUAACGUUAGUCUGCAGCUACCACGGGAAAGUGCAAAUUCAACGAGAACUGGUUGGAGAACAGCAUUUUUGCUUCGUGGUUAAAAUCAGUUGAAGGGAAUCAAUACGAAGCACGCUGUAUCUUUUGCAAGAAGUCCUUCAACUUGGCACUAUGAUGUUUGACGAAAGCCUCAACCAAACGACAAAAAGUAAACAACUGGACCUGCAUAUACGCUAUUGGGAGGGAAAUCACGUUCAGUCAAGUUACCUGGGGUCGCAGUUCAUGGGGCAUGCAACAGCUCGGGAUUUACUGCAACAUUUCAAAGUAAGUUUUCAGUCGAUUUAUUGAAAUAUUGUUAAUGUUAUUUAUAUUAUGUAUUAGCAAAUGUUAGUUAAUUGUUAUUGUUACGUUCACAUUGCCAUAAUUAGCUAAUGAGAAAAAAUAUGUAUCAGGAUCUAUGAACAGUAUGGUGGUGCUCAGCUGGUUGUUGUGGGGAGCUGCGGCCUCAACACCCUACACAACGCUUUCAAAUGUGGCUUCUCCAUGUGGCAGCUGGAAAAGGUUCUGAGGGCCAUGCACAUUCUUUUCCACAAUGUGCCAGCAAGGAGGGAGGACUACACUGCUCUCACCAAAUCCUUGGUCUUCCCGUUACAUUCUGUGGCCACUGGUGAAUUAAGAACCUGCCUGUGGUGGAGAGGGCCAUAGAAGUAUGGCAAUCAAUGGUGAAGUAUGUGGAUGUGGUGAGAACCAAGAAGCUCCCAACCCCUGGAAUAGGGUCGUUUGACACCAUAGAAAAGCCCAGCAAGAUCAGCUCAUCUCGGCCAAACUGCAGUUCUUCAUGGCUGUCUCCAGGACUUUCAGUCCCUUUUUGACCAAGUACCAGACUGACGAGCUAGUGAUGCCAUUCCUCUGCAAAGGGUUGAUAAAGUCUGCUUAGGCGUUCUGUCAAGAGGGAGCUCCUCCAGAACAUCACUCCACUGCAGAUGAUCAGACUGGAUGUCGCUGACCAAAAUAAUUGGGUCCGCCCGAAGGAAGUUGACAGGCUUGCGUGCCGAGUCAGUCCUCAAGGUGAUGUGAGCACUUCCUCUCUUUCCAGCCCACAGAGACGAGGCUGGAUGUGUUCCUGCAUGGCUUCCUCUGCCAAUCCUACCCUGAGCUUUGGGGUUUCUGUAAGAAGCUGCUUCUUUUGUCCCAUGGGCAGGCAGCCGUCGAGAGAGGCUUCUCCAUCAACAAGGUGGAAACCUGUAACAUGCAGGAGGGUACAGUCAUCGCCCAGAGACAGAUGUGAUUAUGUCACAGUCUGUGGUGGUGUUGUUAAGGUCCCUCUCACCAAGGAGCUGCUGACCUCUGCUGGAUCAGCAAGGUCAAAAUACAGAGCACACCUGGACCAGUAGAAGAGGAAGAGCGAAAGCGCUGUGCAAGGGCAGAAGAGAAAAGCUGCGGAGGACCAUAUAGAUGAGCUGGGGGAAAAAAAGAAGAAACUCUGCUGGAGGUAUCUGGCAGCCUGGAGAAGGAUGCAGACAAAUUUGCAGAGGGAAGAUCCGGCACCUUGAUGUCUCAGCACAUCACCAAGUCCAACACCCUCAGGAGGAGAUAUGAGGAGAAAAUAUUUUAAUUAAAACAAGUGGAAGCAGAGUUGGAGAGUAAGGCCACAGAACUAAGACACAUGCCAUGAUAAAAGAGAGAGAGGACAGCAAGUCAUGUUUCUUCCCUCCAUUUUGAGCAUAGUUGAAAUUACAGUUGUCCCAGGUCCAGUGGAUUGGCACCAGCAAUUAUUGUUUUGUUUUUAUAUGCAGCUAACGUUGCACUGUUGGUUACAAUGUCAACACUGUACGUUAAAUGUUUCCUUGUUAAUGAACACAUUAAUUUUGUAUCUUGUAAAAUACAUUAGUUUAUACUGGAUUAAGCUUACAUUUUCAUUAAUUGUAAUUUCGUUAGAUAUGCUCCAACUUUCCCUCUGACUUGUGCCAACAUCGGUUCUUUUUAAGUCUUGGUUCCAAUAGUUUAUAUAUUUUUCUAAGAGAUUGUCAGUUGGAUAUGCUCUCUGCAAGGUU